CCUACGGGAGGCAGCAGUGGGGAAUUUUGGACAAUGGGGGCAACCCUGAUCCAGCCAUGCCGCGUGUGUGAAGAAGGCCUUCGGGUUGUAAAGCACUUUCGGACGGAACGAAAUCGCGCGUGUUAAUACCCCGCGUGGAUGACGGUACCGUAAGAAGAAGCACCGGCUAACUACGUGCCAGCAGCCGCGGUAAUACGUAGGGUGCGAGCGUUAAUCGGAAUUACUGGGCGUAAAGUGUGCGCAGGCGGCAGAGCAAGUCGAGUGUGAAAGCCCCGGGCUUAACUUGGGAAUUGCGCUCGAAACUACUUUGCUGGAGUGUGGCAGAGGAAGGUGGAAUUCCACGUGUAGCGGUGAAAUGCGUAGAGAUGUGGAGGAACACCGAUGGCGAAGGCAGCCUUCUGGGCCAACACUGACGCUCAUGCACGAAAGCGUGGGGAGCAAACAGGAUUAGAUACCCUGGUAGUCCACGCCCUAAACGAUGAUGACUAGUUGUUGGGGGAGUUAAAUCCCUUAGUAACGCAGCUAACGCGUGAAGUCAUCCGCCUGGGGAGUACGGUCGCAAGAUUAAAACUCAAAGGAAUUGACGG
rnacentral:rRNA from 1 species